rnacentral:misc_RNA from 1 species
GAACGCACAUUGCGCCCGCCAGUAUUCUGGCGGGCAUGCCUGUUCGAGCGUCAUUUCAACCCUCAAGCCCCCGGGCUUGGUGUUGGGGAUCGGCCGCCCUCUCCGGCGCGCCGGCCCCGAAAUCUAGUGGCGGUCUCGCUGUAGCCUCCUCUGCGUAGUAGCACACCUCGCACCGGAACGCAGCCUGGCCACGCCGUUAAACCCCCCACUUCUGAAGGUUGACCUCGGAUCAGGUAGGAAUACCCGCUGAACUUAAG